UCCAUUUCUUUCUACCACUGCUCUAUCCACUUUAUUUCCUUCUUCCUAUUUUCUUUCUUCCUCUUCUUUCUUCAUCAUCUUUUAUUAUAUUUUCUCUCUUUCAAAAUAAUUUACAAAAAUGGUUUACGAAAAAAAUUGUUUAUGAAAAUGAUUUAUAAAUAUUUUGAUUAUUAUUUCUUCUCCUUAUUUCUAUUUUUUCAGAAAUGGUUAACAUAAAUUAUUUCUUCCAAAAAUUCUUGCAAACUUGAAGAAAAAAUAUUUUUAUUGAUGCAUGGUUAAUGAUUGGUUUGACUCAUUAUUUUCUUGAUUAAUUUUUUAAAUAGGUUUGUUGAGGAAGUAAGUGUUCGUCUUCUUCAUCCGAAUUCAGAGACUAUUGGAUAGAGGUUGAGGAUGAGAUUCUUGAAGAGUUGGAAUUUUGGGUUAGAUUUUUUGAUUUUGUUAAUUAUAUGUUGAAGGAAUUUGUUAAGAAGGAUGAUUGUGUUUAAAAUUUUGGUUAAAGUUCUUGAUUUAUCUGAGUUUGUAGAUGAAUGUGUUAGAAAUAUGAUUGAAA